rnacentral:rRNA from 1 species
UACGGGGGGAGCAAGCGUUGUUCGGAUUUACUGGGCGUAAAGGGCGCGUAGGCGGCCACCGCAAGUCGACUGUGAAAUCUCCGGGCUUAACUCGGAAAGGUCAGCCGAUACUGCGGGGCUAGAGUGCAGAAGGGGCAACUGGAAUUCUCGGUGUAGCGGUGGAAUGCGUAGAUAUCGAGAGGAACACCUGCGGCGAAGGCGGGUUGCUGGGCUGACACUGACGCUGAUUGUGCGAAAGCUAGGGGAGCGAACGGG